rnacentral:lncRNA from 1 species
UGAUAACCUCUCUUAUAGUCUUUUUGGGUCUUCCUCUGCCUCGAAUUGUUUGUCUUCUCUCCAUCUGGUCUACUCUCCUCACUACAGAGUCUACCGGUCUUUUCUCUACAUGCCCAAACCACCUAAGUCUAUUUUCCACCAUCUUCUCUAUAAUAGGCGCUACUCCAACCCUCUCUCUAAUAGCUCCGUUUCUAAUUUUAUCCUGUCGAGUCUUACCACACAUCCACCGCAAUAUCCUCAUCUCCGCUACACCUACUUUAGUCUCAUGUUGGCUCUUGACCGCCCAACAUUCUGUUCCAUACAAAAUCGCCGGUCUUACCGCAGUCCGAUAAAACUUUCCCUUUAACUUGAUCGGUACCUUUGCAUCACAUAACACCCCCGAUGCUUUUCUCCAUUUCAUCCAUCCUGCUUGAAUGCGAUGAUUCACAUCCCCUUCAAUUUCUCCAUCAUCCUGUAUUACAGACCCAAGAUAUUUAAACCGUGUGACUUGAGGGAUAAUAUGGUCUCCUAUUUUCACCUCUGAGUUAGAUACCCUCCUACUUUUGUUGAACUUACAUUCCAUAUACUCCGAUUUGCUUCUGCUUAGGCGAAAGCCAUGUGUUUCUAGAGCUCGUCUCCAAGUUUCCAACCUCUCAUUCAACUCCUCCCUCGACUCUCCAAGGAGGACUAUGUCAUCUGCAAAAAGCAUGCAUCUCGACACUAUCUCUUGAAUUUGUUCCGUGAGGACAUCCAGAAUUAAGGUAAAAAGGUAGGGGCUAAGGGUUGACCCUUGAUGCAAACCAAUUGUGAUGGGAAAAUCGUCUGACUCUCCACCCUGUGUCCUAACACUAGUCGAUACCCUAUCAUACAUAUCUUGGAUAGCUCGAAUAUAUGCAACCCUAACCCCUUUCUUCUCUAGAGUUUUCCACAAAAUCUCUCUAGGCACUCUAUCAUACGCUUUCUCCAAGUCAAUAAAAAUCAAGUGCAAGUCUUGUUGGUCCAUGCGAUAUUGCUCCAUCACCCGCCGUAAUAAAUAAAUCGCUUCCAUGGUCGACCUUCCCGGCAUGAAACCAAAUUGAUUCUCAGUAACUUGAGUCUCCUUUCUUAAUCUCCGUUUGAUCACUCUUUCCCAUAAUUUCAUGGUAUGACUCAUGAGCUUGAUUCCCCUAUAAUUUGCACAAUUUUGUAUAUCCCCCUUGUUCUUAUAGAUUGGCACUAACGUGCUUCUCCUCCAUUCCUCCGGCAUGCGUUUUGACCUCAUAAUUUCAUUAAAGAGUUUGGUGAGCCACUCAAGACCUCUAUCUCCAAGAUUUGAAGGUAGUGAGGAAAAAUAUUACUCUUAGCUUUUCAUUCAAAUAACAUAGAUAUAUAUAUACAAAGAGAAGAGAGAGAAGCUUGAAAGCUUUGAUAAGACAGGACACACUGCUGUCUUCUACUAUAAGCUAAAACAGAUACAAUAAUCUAUUCUAAGAUACACAUAAUUAUAACACUCCCCCUCAAGCUGGAGCAUAUAAAUUGUAUGCUCCAAGCUUGGAACAUAUAAUCUGAAUCCUAGGCCCCCUUAAGGGUUUAGUCAAAAUAUCUGCUGGCUGAUCACUGGAGUUAAUGAACUCAGUGACAAUUUCUUUAGACAGUAAUUUCUCCCGAAUGAAGUGACAAUCAAUCUCAAUAUGCUUAGUCCUCUCAUGGAAGACGGGGUUUGAAGCGAUGUGAAGAGCAGCUUGAUUAUCACAAUAUAGCUUCAUUUGCAUCACUUUGCAGAAAUUCAACUCUUCAAGAAUUUGCUUAACCCACAUAAGUUCACACGUAACCACAGCCAUAGAUCUAUAUUCAACCUCUGCACUAGAUCGAGCAACAACAGAUUGCUUCUUGCUUUUCCAAGAAAUAACAUUCCCUCCAAUGGAGACACAAUAUCCGGAUGUGGAUCUCCUAUCCAUUGGACAACCAGCCCAAUUUGCAUCACAAUACCCAGAUACUUGUGUAUUACCUUUGAUCCAGCAAGAACUUGAUCACGCACAUGAUCAAAGUCAAAGUGUAGACUCCUCAGAAUGAGGACCAUGUAAAACUUAUCCAGUUUUCUAUUCAUUUCUUCCAAUGAGUCAGCUACCAAAAACUUUUUCAGCUCUUCAACUGCAGCCCUAGCCUUCCCUACAUGUGCAAUCAUGUCAUGUCCAGUUUGUUUGAGAGCUGUAACCUUCAUGGUUGCAUCAAAGAGGCUUUGAAUGUCAUUUGCAAAGAUCUCUUGGGCCUUUUUCCAAAACGAAUGACACGUUUUGAAUGACCUAAGGAUCUCCAAAAUAUCUGGCUCAACUGAUUGCCAUAAUACAGCAUAGAGUUGAUAGUCAAGUUUCUCCCACUCAAAUUUUCUGUCAUUUGGAACAGCAUCAACUCCUUUCUCCAAAUGGUCAUGAUGUCCUUGGCCAAGGAACCAAAGCUCCACAGAGGCAGACCAAGAUAGAUAAUUUUUCCAGUUCAGUUUUGUAGAUGUUAUUGUUGGAGUUCCAGAAAAAGAAAAAACUGGUCCAGAAGAGGCCAUUUCUGAUCAACAAUGGAAGUCCAAAGGAACCAAGAAUAGAAGAAGGCACAUGCAGGCACAAAGACCUGCCAAAAACAAAAGGCAACACUUGAAACAGGCUCAGAGAAGAACGACGAAGCUGCCGGAACAAGUUGGGCGAGCUUCCGACGUCGGGACGGCGGCGCGUGAGACACACGCGCCUGAAAACGCGAGGAGCUGUGGCGGCGCGUGACGGCGCGUGACAACUACAAUGGUGACGCAAACUGCAGGGUUGGGUCGCGCGUUCCAGGGCGGUUCGAACCCUAGAUUCGCCGGAGAGAAUGACGGCCAGAAGUGACGGUUGCCGACGGCGGACGGCGGCGGACGGCGGCGGCGGCGGACGGAACCCGCUCUGAUGCCAACUUAGAUUUGAAGGUAGUGAGGAAAAAUAUUACUCUUAGCUUUUCAUUCAAAUAACAUAGAUAUAUAUAUACAAAGAGAAGAGAGAGAAGCUUGAAAGCUUUGAUAAGACAGGACACACUGCUGUCUUCUACUAUAAGCUAAAACAGAUACAAUAAUCUAUUCUAAAGAUACACAUAAUUAUAACAUAAUCAACACUGAUCCUAUUUGCUCAUUAUAAAUAAAGGCUUAGUGUGGUCAUCCAAGACGCGACAUUACACAGUAAAACACUAUUAUAAUAAAUGAAGACUAAUUGUGAUCAUCCUCAACAACACAUUACAGCAAACCCUUCC